GGCAGGGAUGACAGCUUCCCGUCAGAGAGGCGGAGUCAUUAGGAGCAAUCCCUGAACUCUAGAACUACGUAGCCAGUGCAGGAUGCAGGAGUCACUUGUCAGGAAAAGCUAGUCACCCGUCAGAUAGGCUUGACUAUUAUAUUGCCUUAGGCUUGACUUUCUUCUAAGGUCACCCAUUAGAGAGGAUUGACCAAAGAGGUCUUUACCCAUGGCAUGGUAUUGAGACCCUUCUAGCUGGGGUUACCGGUUGGACCCCACCAGUUGAGAUAUGGGGCAUGUCGGUUAAGUGACUACUUCCCACAGUUGCAG
rnacentral:lncRNA from 1 species